rfam:Gossypium arboreum cultivar AKA8401 contig_24169_5, whole genome shotgun sequence.
GAAAGCCGUGUGCAAUGAAAAAUGCAAGCACGGUUUGGGGAGGGAUUUUUUUUUUCUUUUAAAUUUCAAUUUAUUUAAUUGAAACAAGGAAAUUAUCUACUCCAU